UCUCAGACGGCUUCGGAAAAACACACAGAUUGAAAGCUUACCAGGUAACAACAGGAUCAUUUGUUAGCAAGUUGAAAGAGAACAAGGCCAACGCCGUGAUCGUCAGCAGCAUAUAUAACACUAUGUCAGACUCAGCCUCAGCAAGAAGUUUUAUUGGAAGCUAUUUCCAGCCUCCAGACGUGAUAUCACCAGUGCCAAGGAAGCCAGAGAUGUCAGACUCAGCCUCAGCAAGAAGUUUUAUUGGAAGCUAUUUCCAGCCUCCAGACAUGAUAUCACCAGUGCCAAGGAAGCCAGAGAUGUCAGACUCAUCCUCAACAUUUAGUGUUACUGGAAGCUAUGACCAGCCUCCAGACACUGAACCACCAGUGCCAAGGAAGCCGGAGG